UACAGAGGGUGCGAGCGUUGUUCGGAAUUAUUGGGCGUAAAGGGCGCGUAGGCGGUGCGGUAAGUCACCUGUGAAAUCUCCUGGCUCAACUGGGAGCUUGCAGGCGAAACUGCCGUGCUGGAGUGUGGGAGAGGUGCGUGGAGUUCCCGGUGUAGCGGUGAAAUGCGUAGAUAUCGGGAGGAACACCUGUGGCGAAAGCGGCGCACUGGACCACAACUGACGCUGAGGCGCGAAAGCUAGGGGAGCAAACGGG
rnacentral:rRNA from 1 species